ensembl:lncRNA
AUUUUUGUGGUUCCUUUGUGGCCCAUGAUCUGCCAGGUGACUGAAGGAAGACUGCUUCUCUCUCCACCUGCUUUGUCCCUGAUUUGGCCCUCUGGGUUCCUGCUGUCUGUGGGCUUUAUAAACUCUGUAAGCACUGAAGUUUACACUUGGGAAUCAUCAGGACAAGGUGUCCACCUUGCAGACCUGUAUGUGCAGUGCUCCCCCCUACAACACCACUCAGCUGGAAGAAUUGCUGUUGCAGACACUCUUCACCGUUCCCAGACACUUCAAAAAUGCAUGGAACAAGGUUUCAGAGAGUCAAUGCUGAGUGCAGGGGACACCUGGAAGUGCCCUCCUCAUAGCAGGUGCCUAUCCCAGUUAAGA